UCUAUAUGGAAGUUUAGUGAAGACACCAAAUCCAUGUAUACGAGACUUCCCUGUGGCCAAAUUAUUUCAAAGGUGGAUGAUUAAACAGAGUACUUCCCACUAAUUUAUUGCAAGAUAUGGAACUCAUGCCCACAAAAGAGAAACCUUAACAACAAUUAGGAAUCAACUGAUUUUCAAUAUGCAACUCUUAGUAGAUCGGUUCAAUCUAUAUGAAAAUACAAAUCUAGCAAUAGAGAAUAAAAUGAUACAGAUUAGAAGAGGCCUAAAUAGAAUCUUCUCAUCUAUAUAUCCAUAUAUAUAUAAGCUGACUACAACACAAUUUGGUCAUUUUCCUGCCAAAACACACCAACCUUUUAACCAAUGUGUAAUUCAGUUCAUAUUAAGUGACUGCAUAAUAUAACUAAUUUUCAAUAGAAUGUUGUAAUACUUAAUUAUAUUGGUAAACAGAAUUUGGGCAGUAAUUUUAGCUUAGAUUUGUUAAACUUGGAGCCAAAUAUUAAAAUUCAGAAUCAAGUUUAAGAGCCAAAACUUUUCCUAUAAUUACAAGGGCCUUCUGUUCGUUUUAGUAAAACAUUUCCAAAAAAAUCGUGUGGUUUUUAUCUUUCAACAUUUCUGUUCUUUCAUUUUCAAAAAUCCUUUCUAUUUGAAGUUACGAUUUUGAGAAAACAAGAUUUUUUAUUCAUUAUCAACAUCUUCAUUUCAAAAUUAUUUUGUGGGACUUCUUAUUUUCUAGGAAUAUAAUUGUUUAAAUGAAAUAACAGCAUCUGAUAGCUUUAUUAGCAUUGUUUCCCUAUUCGAAGAAUAAAAUAGUACUACUAAACCACUAUUGUCCAGUUAAAAUACAUGCAAAAAACCGCAGUUCAGAGUUUAUAAUGAUAAUGAUAAAAAGUAAUUGAAGAAUCCAUACCUCUUUGGUGUUGUUCGAUUUUUAUGUAUCAAACUUCUUUGCUAGCUUCACUAGAAAGAUGGUCCUUAACCUGCAAAAUAAUCCAUAAUGUUAGUAUCCAUUCAAACUGACCCAAUUAAAAUUGAACGAUGAAAAUAUUCUGGAAUAGAAUAACUACCUGAAACUUCUUUAUGAAGUCAUGCCCUAGCUUCAUUAUCUCGCCUAAGAGUUUUCAGCAAUACCAUCUUUAUUGAACCAUAGGCAAUCCAGGAUUCUUGGAAGAUUCUUCUUAAAAUAGCCUCCUUCGAAUCCGCCACCCAGAAAUUACUGUUAGGCUAAAGUUUUGUGUAGAAA
rnacentral:lncRNA from 1 species